rnacentral:rRNA from 1 species
AGAGUUUGAUCCUGGCUCAGAUUGAACGCUGGCGGCAUGCCUUACACAUGCAAGUCGAACGGCAGCACGGGAGCAAUCCUGGUGGCGAGUGGCGAACGGGUGAGUAAUAUAUCGGAACGUGCCCAGUUGUGGGGGAUAACGUAGAGAAAUUUACGCUAAUACCGCAUGAGAUCUACGGAUGAAAGCGGGGGACUUCGCAAGAAGCCUCGCGCGACUGGAGCGGCUGAUAUCAGAUUAGGUUGUUGGUGAGGUAAAAGCUCACCAAGCCGACGAUCUGUAGCUGGUUUGAGAGAACGACCAGCCACACUGGGACUGAGACACGGCCCAGACUCCUACGGGAGGCAGCAGUGGGGAAUUUUGGACAAUGGGCGAAAGCCUGAUCCAGCAAUGCCGCGUGCAGGAAGAAGGCCUUCGGGUUGUAAACUGCUUUUGUACGGAACGAAAAGGUCUGCCCUAAUACGGCGGGCCGAUGACGGUACCGUAAGAAUAAGCACCGGCUAACUACGUGCCAGCAGCCGCGGNUAAUACGUAGGGUGCGAGCGUUAAUCGGAAUUACUGGGCGUAAAGCGUGCGCAGGCGGUGAUGCAAGACAGUUGUGAAAUCCCCGGGCUCNACCUGGGGACCUGCAUUUGUGACUGCAUCGCUANAGUACGGCAGAGGGGGGAUGGAAUUCCGGCGUGUAG